GGUAACAUAACAUAGUGGUUAAGGAGCUCGGCUAGCACCUGAAAAGUUGUGGGUUCAAUUCCCAGCUUCCACCG
rnacentral:tRNA from 1 species